AUCCAACUGAAGAGUCCCAAACAGGACGAAACGUGCAUCCUGGAU
rnacentral:hammerhead_ribozyme from 1 species